UCACAGCACACCACACACACAACCAAUACAAGUGUAUACACAGACACAGGCAUAUAGAGAGACUCGAGGAAGUGAGGGAGUCGCGGGGAAGAAGAAGGAAAGGAAAGGGGUGAGGCCGCGCCGCUACUGGCGAUCGUCGAGCAACCUCUGUCGCGCUUUACCGUCGGUCACUGCUGCUGAAUCGCCAUCAGAAAUGGAACCGUGGAGAAAAGGAUGUCAAGACGCGAAGAGAGAGAGUCCGCGAGAAGAGGGAGGCCGACUGCGUCCUGUCGCCGCCGCUGGAGGGAGGCCGUUCGCGUCCAGCUCUCUGCGGCUGUUGCAUCGCCAUCAUCGUGCGCCGCCGUCGAGCCCAAAGCUGCCGCCAUCGCACGAAGCAGAGAGAGUGAAAGACGUGAUGGAGGGGUGAGGGAGGAGUUGCCACUGCUGUUGCUAGGGCUAGCCGCCGGAGCCAUUGUCGUCGCCACUGGAGUUAGCUGCUAAGGAGCGUUCUGUCAUCGUGAAACUUGAAAGGGGAUGUCACUGCCAUUGUUGCCGGUAGCACUGUUCCCGUUCUGGUUCCAAUUCCUUCGUUUAUGAGACCUGUAACAUUUUCUUCCUUGCUUUGUUACCAUUUUGUUUCUCUGUCAUAUUUUCGUCCUAAUUAUGUUAGCAUAUUUUAUUCUAGUGUUGCUAAUUUAUCUCCUAAACAAUUAUGAUUGGUGCUGAGAUCAUUGUUGCUGCUGCUCCAAGAGGAAAGUUGUUGCUACUAGGAAUUAAAAACAAACGAAUGAUUUGUUGCGUUUAAUUACCAAGUUUUGGCUAAUUGAGAAUGUUCCUUACUUGGGAUGCAGUGCCUUGUAUACUUAUUUUCAGGUGUGUGGCACUUAUUAGAACUUCUCCAUGAGAAAUGAGAAAGGAGCUGUAUGAACAUGAUGGAGUUUGUAAUUUGUAGUUUACAUUUUGGAGAUUUAUAAUUCCUUGUUUUUCUUGUCUUAUGUAUCUAUCUAGUUCAUUAGGGUUCUUCAAUAUGUCUUGUUAGUUUGUA